rnacentral:rRNA from 1 species
CGCGAAAGCUCCUUCGGGGGUUAGUAGAGUGGCGAACGGGUGAGUAACGCGUAGGAAUCUACCCAAGAGUGGGGGACAACCCGGAGAAAUCCGGGCUAAUACCGCAUACGCCCUACGGGGUAAAGUGGGGGACCUUUCGGGGCCUCAUGCUUUUGGAUGAGCCUGCGUCGGAUUAGCUUGUUGGUGAGGUAACGGCUCACCAAGGCGACGAUCCGUGGCUGGUCUGAGAGGAUGACCAGCCACACUGGGACUGAGACACGGCCCAGACUCCUACGGGAGGCAGCAGUGGGGAAUAUUGGACAAUGGGGGCAACCCUGAUCCAGCCAUGCCGCGUGUGUGAAGAAGGCCCUAGGGUUGUAAAGCACUUUCAGUGGGGAAGAAAAACCUGAAGAUAAUACCUUCGGGCAUUGACGGUACCUGCAGAAGAAGCACCGGCUAAUUCCGUGCCAGCAGCCGCGGUAAUACGGAAGGUGCAAGCGUUAAUCGGAAUUACUGGGCGUAAAGCGCGCGUAGGCGGCUAGAUAAGUCGGGUGUGAAAGCCCCGGGCUCAACCUGGGAACUGCAUUCGAUACUGUCUGGCUAGAGUGUGAUAGAGGGAGGCGGAAUUCCGCAUGUAGCGGUGAAAUGCGUAGAGAUGCGGAGGAACACCAAUGGCGAAGGCAGCCUCCUGGAUUAACACUGACGCUGAGGUGCGAAAGCGUGGGGAGCAGACAGGAUUAGAUACCCUGGUAGUCCACGCUGUAAACGAUGUCAACUAGCCGUUGGGAGCAAUUUGGCUCUUAGUGGCGCAGCU